rnacentral:rRNA from 1 species
AGUGAACGCUGGCGGUAGGCCUAACACAUGCAAGUCGAACGGCAGCACAGUAAGAGCUUGCUCUUACGGGUGGCGAGUGGCGGACGGGUGAGGAAUACAUCGGAAUCUACUUUUUCGUGGGGGAUAACGUAGGGAAACUUACGCUAAUACCGCAUACGACCUACGGGUGAAAGCAGGGGAUCUUCGGACCUUGCGCGAUUGAAUGAGCCGAUGUCGGAUUAGCUAGUUGGCGGGGUAAAGGCCCACCAAGGCGACGAUCCGUAGCUGGUCUGAGGGGAUGAUCAGCCACACUGGAACUGAGGCACGGUCCAGACUCCUAAGGGAGGCAGCAGUGGGGAAUAUUGGACAAUGGGGGAAAGCCUGAUCCAGCCAUACCGCGUGGGUGAAGAAGGACUUCGGGUUGUAAAGCCCUUUUGUUGGGAAAGAAAAGCAGCAGGUUAAUACCCCGCUGUUCUGACGGUACCCAAAGAAUAAGCACCGGCUAACUUCGUG